rfam:Schistosoma curassoni strain Dakar, Senegal genome assembly, scaffold: SCTD_scaffold0009554
AUCUAGCUGACGAGUCCGAAAUGGAACAAAACGCGAGUCCUAGAC